rnacentral:rRNA from 1 species
UACGUAGGGUGCAAGCGUUGUCCGGAAUUAUUGGGCGUAAAGAGCUCGUAGGCGGUUUGUCGCGUCUGCUGUGAAAACUCGGGGCUUAACUCCGGGCCUGCAGUGGGGUACGGGCAGACUAGAGUGCGGUAGGGGGAGACUGGAAUUCCUGGUGUAGCGGUGAAAUGCGCAGAUAUCUGGAGGAACACCGGUGGCGAAGGCGGCAUCCUGGACCAACACUGAACACUGAUGAGCGAAAGCCGGGAGGG